rnacentral:lncRNA from 1 species
AGCCAGCGGCAAGUACAUUUCUCAGGUGCGAGCAUGUUGGUAUGUCCAACAGCAGAGAGCCGGUGUGGCCGGGACAGAGUGGGGAACGGAGCGAGUAGGGAAAGAGGAGGUUAGAGCACUAGAUCCUACAGGGUUUGUGGGCCACAUUCAAGACUUUGGCUUUUAUUCAGAGUAAGAUGAGGUGUCUUGCAGGGAUUUUGUGAGCAGAGGAGAAAGGUAGAAAAGGGAGCAUAUCUGGCCUGCCUGCUAUGCUUUGAAGCGCUUGCUCACAGGGUUGGUCUCUUAAUUGCAUCUGGGAAUGUAGAUUUGGGGAAAGUUCCCACCAUCCUCUGGAGUGGCUUGUUGUGCCUAAACUGUUUUCUACAAGCAAUGUGGUUUAGCUGAACAUUGUCUUCCGCCUGAGUCUGGAAUUUGUAUAUGUGCCAGGAAGGGAGUGCUAUCAUGACAAGUCCCCCAGUUUAAAAAAAAAACUCUGGGCACCAGUCUCUAACAAGCUUCCCUGGUAGAAGACAGUAUUUUGUAACUUAUUGCUGGGGGAAUUAAGGAUGUCCUGUGUGACUCCUCUUGGUGAAGCCCCUUGGCAGCUCGAGCCUGCUUUCCCGUGGACUUCGCCCCAUGGACCUCUUCCCCUUUGUGGGUUGUGUUUGGCAUCCUUUGCUGUAAAAACUACAGUCAUGACUGCAACAAUCUACAGAAACUAGAUCACCAGUUUGGGCUUCCCGGGCACCUGGAAGAAAUCUCUGAAAUGGCACACAUAGGUUAGUAUCAAGGUCUCAUCAUCAAAUUACUGUACGGGCCAUGUCACCUUCUCAAUCUCCAUUUCCUUAUCUGCAAAAUGGGAAUAAAAACCCGUGUGAGGCUUAAGUAAGACAGUGGAAGGAAAUGCGAUUGGUCCAGCCUCACAACCUGUUAGUUGUGAACCUGAAUCCUGCUCAGAGAGAAGAGGACAACUUCGGAGUCCAUCUGCUCACAGCUCCCCAGCUCAAGCAUUCUUAUUUACGUGCAAAAUUUUGUGUGUGGAUGUGAGCAUUUUUCCAGCAGAAAGGCUGAUAAUUUUCCUUGAAUGCUCCAAAAAAUUCAAGACUCUACAAAUGUUCUACGGAACAACACUGUCUGCCUGUGGUAUGGGACCUCUUGCUUGGAUCCACGGAUAACCUCCCAGUGAGUACUACAUCCUCUUGACUGCAUCCUGAAUGGACACCACACCCUUGGGGUGUUUAGUGUCAUAUGUAGCCAUCGGCGCAUUAUUUUACGCCACUGUGCCUCAGUGUCCUCAUCUGUGAAACAAGAGAGACAAGAGAUGACAUAAGCAAAGAGCUCACCAUGAUGCCUGGUGCAUGGCCGUCUCAUUGUAAGGUUUCCCCUUUUAGCUCACCACACUCACCCUUGUAAGCUGGAAUUUGGGGAGUAAAAAGAUGGAAGGGAGUAGAAACAGGAAAGUAACUUUUUUACCUAUCUGGUCUCAAUCUGGCCUUGAGUUCCUUCAUGUUUUCUUCCUGUGGUAGCACUCAUGGGUUC